rnacentral:rRNA from 1 species
GAGUUUGAUCAUGGCUCAGAUUGAACGCUGGCGGCAUGCCUUACACAUGCAAGUCGAACGGCAGCAUGAUCUAGCUUGCUAGAUUGAUGGCGAGUGGCGAACGGGUGGGUAAUACAUCGGAACGUGCCCUGUAGUGGGGGAUAACUAGUCGAAAGAUUAGCUAAUACCGCAUACGACCUGAGGGUGAAAGUGGGGGACCGCAAGGCCUCAUGCUAUAGGAGCGGCCGAUGUCUGAUUAGCUAGUUGGUGGGGUAAAGGCCCACCAAGGCGACGAUCAGUAGCUGGUCUGAGAGGACGAUCAGCCACACUGGGACUGAGACACGGCCCAGACUCCUACGGGAGGCAGCAGUGGGGAAUUUUGGACAAUGGGCGAAAGCCUGAUCCAGCAAUGCCGCGUGUGUGAAGAAGGCCUCGGUGUAAG